rnacentral:tRNA from 1 species
GCUGGGGUGGCUGAGUAUGGUUAAAAGCGCAGGGCUUAAACUCCUGUCCGUAAAGGUUCGCAGGUUCAAAUCCUGCCCCCAGCA